AUGAACAAAGUCCCGUGUGCUUGAGUUUGCUGGGAAGCUGUAGUGGAAAUGCUAAGUCAUAGCGUGAACCAGUGAUUGAGCACCUGGUGGGAAGGCAGUACCAAAUCAGGGGAACUCAUGUGUAUGCAAUACACCUGAGUGACUGGAAGGAGUGGAGCCAGGAUCAGCCCCUUCCCAGACUUCGCUUAAGGGUUGGCAGUGCCUCCUUGAAGGGUUCCAAAGGAAGAAUCAGCACAACCUGUUUGAUCCUGCUCCAUACCUCACAAGCCCAGAGGCCUCUCUCAUGUACCUCCCAGUCAUUUCUUCUGUACCUUGAAGAUAUCUGUUCUACUUGCACUAUUCUAUGCUACCUGGGAAGGGCAAAAGCUGUCCUCCUCUAUUCCCAUCCAUGAGGGAACAAUUCCAUGCAUGACUUCUAAGCCAGUGAGGGACUGCCUAUCACAGAGGAUGAUGUUCAGUCUGCUUCCUCCUCUCUUCUGGAGACAAACCCUGCCAGAGAAACCAAAACCUGUACCCUAUUGGAUAAACUUUCACCUAAGCAAAGGGAGAGAUACCCAAAGAUGUCUUCUGCCAGUGCUCAUUAGAACUGAAUCCAAAGUCACCACAUUGUGAUAGUCAUCAUUUACAGGUAUGUAUCGUAUGGUAUUUAUUGGUAUAGAUUGAUGUUUGGACAAGGUAAUCUUAUGGUCUUUCCAACCUUAUUCUAUGAUCUGUGCUGCUCACACCCCUAGGGAUGCUCUGCUUGUACGCUUGUAGAGAAGAAAGUACUCUCCCUUUUUGGCUUUCACCUUUUAUGCUUGAGCACAGGAUUAUAUCAACAGAUGCAGAUUCUAGUCUGGAAAGCUGCUUGCCACUGACUGCAGGGGACAACUUAAUCUUCAUGUUGACCUUACUGCUGGGUUUCCUAGAUGGCUGUUUUGCUGCCUGAGCCUGAAGUAGCAAGGGAGAAAGGGGAGUCAAAAGGAGAAAUGAAGUCCCUUGGCUGGAAUUUCAAUCCUCUCUGAUUUUUCUUUACAAAGGCUGAACAGGCUUAGAGGAAAGGGCUGCUCAAGACUUGUCAGAGCCUUCCUGAAGGCAAGUGUCUGCAGUGCUACCCUUCCUGGAGGACUAAAUCUGAAUAUCCCAGCAUCAAAAACAGGCUAUUUACCUCUUUAAGGACAUCCCCUUGCUGCACCUUUCCUCUGCUCUCAAUAUCAAGCUUGCCUUUUUUUCCUCUCUCUCUCUUCUCUUUGCUUUUCCUGGAUGUCUGAAGCUCUGGACACUGUGUCACUCCCACAGAAAGAGGGUAAAAAAAUACUGUAAGGUUGCAGCUCUGUUGUAGCUUGGCAGCUGCUGGCUCUGCGAGUCCAUCUUCCUCCACUACUCUCUCCCCCACUGUUAGAUUCAAUUUCAUAAAUAAAUACCCCACGUAUUGACGUCAUUAUAGGCCUUGAGAAAUAAUACUCCUGCCGCUUUCUUUGCUAAGCAUGGGGAAUGGAGGAGAGAGGGAGGAGGAACAGAAGCAACAACGUCUUGGAAGAUGAAGACUUAAUAUUCUCCUAAUCACCUCCCUCCCUUUGUGGCUAUGACCCAGCUGUGAAGAAUACAAAGAUUACCAUUAUCAGUGUGCCCUUGUGGCUUGAGAAAGGAUAAUCGAGUAUCAAAAAUUCCUAUUUCAGACUAUUUUUUUCAGGAGAGAGGAUGAUGGGGACGUACUCUGGAAGGGUACCCUCAACGGUCCCUGUGCUCCUGUCAUGAAAUUAAGAAAUUUGUAUCCAAAAUGAGCUCACAGUUCAUGUUUCUGUGUCUUAAGACACCAGUGAUGU